rnacentral:tRNA from 1 species
GGGGGUACAGCUCAGCGGUAGAGUGCCUGCUUAGCAUGCAUGCACAAGGUCCUGGGUUCAAUCCCCAGUCCCUCCA